AUCGAACGCUGGCGGCAGGCCUAACACAUGCAAGUCGAACGAGUGGCGGACGGGUGAGUAAUGUUUGGGAAACUGUCCGUUGGCGGGGGAUCACUACUGGAAACGGUUGCUAAUACCGCAUUCCAUCGGAUGUGCCCUGGUGGGAUUAGCUAGUAGGUGGGGUAACGGCUCACCUAGGCGACGAUCCAUAGCUGGUCUGAGAGGAUGACCGGCCACACUGGAACUGAGACACGGUCAAGACGCCUACGGGAGGCAGCAGUCGGGAAUAUUGCGCAAUGGGCGCAAGCCUGACACAGCCAUGCCGCGUGUAUGAAGAAGGCGUUCGGGUUGUAAAGUACUUUUGUCGGGGAGGCGGUACCUGCAGAAGAAGCACCGGCUAACUACGUGCCAGCAGCCGCGGUAAUUC
rnacentral:rRNA from 1 species